AACGAACGCUGGCGGCGUGUUUAAGACAUGCAAGUCGUACGGAGAACCUUUGGAGCUUGCUUUGAAGUUUCUCAGUGGCGCACGGGUGAGUAACACGUGAGUAACAUGCCUCGCAGAGGGGGAUAGCCCGCCGAAAGGCGGAUUAAUACCCCAUGGUCCCGCAAGGGUAAAGGUGGCUUCGGCUGUCGCUGCGAGAUUGGCUCGCGUCCUAUCAGCUUGUUGGUGAGGUAACGGCUCACCAAGGCGACGACGGGUAGCUGGUCUGAGAGGACGAUCAGUCACACUGGAACUGAGACACGGUCCAGACACCUACGGGUGGCAGCAGUCGAGAAUAAUUCACAAUGGGGGCAACCCUGAUGGUGCAACGCCGCGUGGAGGAUGAAGGUCUUCGGAUUGUAAACUCCUGUCAUUUGAGAGUAAGACCUGGGCGUGAAGAGCGCACAGGGUUGAUAGUAUCAAAAGAGGAAGGGACGGCUAACUUCG
rnacentral:rRNA from 1 species